UAACCUGAAGGGACACGUUGCGACCGCACGGCGCGUCCGCAUAAAGUCGUUCAUAGCAGAACACACACACACACACCCUUUCACCUUCUGUUUCUUCUUUUUCUUCUUCUUCUUCAAUUUCAAUAACUCCAAAACACAUAAGCCGUUCCAAAACGCUGCGUUUUACUUACAAUAUUCCCAAUUACAAUUCACCCCUAAUCUGAUCACACCUUUUCUUUUUCUUUUUCCGGCGCCACUAUGGCAAUCGCCGGCGGCGCCCACACGCCGCGCUCCGAAGCUAACCUCUUCAGGUUCUGCCCCUUCUGGAGCUCCGGCAACGCUUCUUCUUCUUCUUCUUCUCUAUCUUCUUCAGCUCACAACAACCAUAACCACCGCUCCGAAGGGAACAACACUGCUACUUCUGCUUCUGCGUCUUCUUCUUCUUCUUCUUCUGCCAAAACAGUGUCGGCGGUGGCGAGGUCGCUGUUCCCUCCACGUCGAAGGCUCCGUCUCGAUCCUUCAAGCUGCCUCUACUUUCCAUAUGAACCGGGGAAACAGGUUAGGAGUGCGGUUCGUUUGAAAAACACAAGCAAGUCGUAUGUUGCUUUCAAGGUAUAUUGUUUCUGUGGACUCAUCUGGUGUGUCUCUAAUGUGGCUUCACUGGCUUCAGAAUUUCAAACUACGGCACCAAAGAGUUGUUACAUGAGGCCUCCUGGUGGUAUUAUUGCUCCUGGUGAAAGCUUGAUUGCAACCGUGUUUAAGUUUGUGGAGCAACCUGAGAACAAUGAAAAGAUGUCAGAUCAGAAGAACAAGGUGAAGUUCAAAAUCAUGAGUCUCAAAGUGAAAGAAGGAGUGGACUACGUACCUGAGCUGCCUUGCAUGGAGCAUGGAUUUUAUUUCUUUAAGCCAGGAAAAGAUAACUCAACUCAACAUGGGUUGCUUCUUAAGUUGGCAAUCAGCUUUCUUUGGAGAAUUCGAAGGACUCAUAAUGUGCAGACAUUUCAUUACUGGUUAAUGUAAAUUGGGAAGAGACCUAAACAGUUUGAUAUGAAGGGUUAUAAGUUGAGUUGACUAGAUAUUACUUUUUAUUGUCUGCUUGGACCUUGGAAAAUACAAUCUUGUUUCAAUUGACUUGACGUAUUCUUGCCCUCGGUUUUAUCAUAAAUGGUCAUUAUGGUCACCUUUUUCGGCGAAGGAAAAAGUAUGACCAGAAGAAUUAGAUAGAGGCUGAGAGUAUGUGUAUGGGUCAGAGGAACAGAAACAGAGACUUCACACAAAAUCCAGACUUUAAAAAGAUCCAGAGAUAUAUCUUCACAUGCUUAGAUGACGCUUUUCUGUAAUUCAUGUGUUUGUCAAGCAGUUGUAAUAGGUUAUGUGUUGCUUGAAUGUUGAAAUUCCAUCCCUUUCAGAACCAGUUAAUGUUCAAAAACGGAUUUUCUUGCAGUUUGACGAACAAAAGGAUCUAGUCUCAGUGGAACGAAUCUUGAAGGUUGUAUUUAUUGAUCCAGAAAGGCCUAGUCCUGCUUUGGAAAAACUGAAGAGACAGCUUAAUGAAGCUGAUGCUGCAGUUGAGGCUCGAAAGAAGCCACCUCCUGUGGAGGUGGGUCCUCGUGUUGUAGCUGAAGGACUUGUAAUUGAUGAAUGG